rnacentral:rRNA from 1 species
UACGUAGGGACCAAGCGUUGUUCGGAUUUACUGGGCGUAAAGGGCGCGUAGGCGGCAAUUCAAGUCAUCUGUGAAAUCUCCGGGCUUAACUCGGAACGGUCAAGUGAUACUGUCGGACUAGAGUACAGAAGGGGCAACUGGAAUUCUCGGUGUAGCGGUGAAAUGCGUAGAUAUCGAGAGGAACACCUGCGGCGAAGGCGGGUUGCUGGGCUGAUACUGACGCUGAGGCGCGAAAGCUAGGGGAGCGAACGGG